rnacentral:rRNA from 1 species
UACGUAGGUGACCAGCGUUGUCCGGAUUUACUGGGCGUAAAGAGCGCGCAGGCGGUCGUUCAAGUCGAGUGUGAAAGCCCCCGGCUCAACUGGGGAGGGUCACUCGAUACUGAUCGACUUGAAGGCAGGAGAGGGAAGCGGAAUUCCCGGUGUAGUGGUGAAAUGCGUAGAUAUCGAGAGGAACACCGGUGGCGAAGGCGGCCAACUGGACGAAUACUGACGCUGAGACACGAAAGCGUGGGGAGCAAACAGGG